rnacentral:rRNA from 1 species
AUUGAACGCUGGCGGCAUGCCUUACACAUGCAAGUCGAACGGUAACAGGUCUUCGGAUGCUGACGAGUGGCGAACGGGUGAGUAAUACAUCGGAACGUGCCUAGUAGUGGGGGAUAACUACUCGAAAGAGUGGCUAAUACCGCAUGAGAUCUACGGAUGAAAGCAGGGGAUCGCAAGACCUUGUGCUACUAGAGCGGCCGAUGGCAGAUUAGGUAGUUGGUGGGAUAAAGCUUACCAAGCCGACGAUAUGUAGCUGGUCUGAGAGGACGAUCAGCCACACUGGGACUGAGACACGGCCCAGACUCCUACGGGAGGCAGCAGUGGGGAAUUUUGGACAAUGGGCGAAAGCCUGAUCCAGCAAUGCCGCGUGCAGGAUGAAGGCCUUCGGGUUGUAAACUGCUUUUGUACGGAACGAAAAGCCCCGGGUUAAUACCCUGGGGUCAUGACGGUACCGUAAGAAUAAGCACCGGCUAACUACGUGCCAGCAGCCGCGGUAA